rnacentral:rRNA from 1 species
GAUGAACGCUAGCUACAGGCUUAACACAUGCAAGUCGAGGGGUAACGAGAGGAAAGCUUGCUUUCCUUGUCGACGACCGGCGCACGGGCGAGUAACGCGUAUCCAACCUGCCCCCAACUAGGGAAUAACCUUGCGAAAGUAAGACUAAUACCCUAUAAUUUCCUCAGAUGUCAUCUGACGAGGAAUAAAGAUUUAUCGGUUGUGGAUGGGGAUGCGUCUGAUUAGCUUGUUGGCGGGGUAACGGCCCACCAAGGCAACGAUCAGUAGGGGUUCUGAGAGGAAGGUCCCCCACAUUGGAACUGAGACACGGUCCAAACUCCUACGGGAGGCAGCAGUGAGGAAUAUUGGUCAAUGGGCGGAAGCCUGAACCAGCCAAGUAGCGUGCAGGAUGACGGCCCUAUGGGUUGUAAACUGCUUUUAUACAGGAAUAAAGUUGGCCACGUGUGGUUAUUUGUAGGUACUGUAUGAAUAAGGACCGGCUAAUUCCGUGCCAGCAGCCGCAGUAA